rnacentral:lncRNA from 1 species
GAAAUAUUAAUUAUUCGAAUCCAUAUAUCAAACCCUGAACAUAAACAGAAAUCAUGAUGUCAUCAUACCAUAAUGAAAUAAAUAAGUAAAUAAAUAAAUAAAUAAAAAUAUCUUUGUUUCUUUUCUAUUCGGGACGAGUGGCUCGGUAGAACCCUAAACCCCAAAUUCUAGUAGCCUUUCGGCUCUCUUAAUCCAACAGGUCUGGCGCCCAGAGAGCAAGCUCGAUCAGGGUCCUUACCUCCAGCCUGAACACUUGAAUUCCAAAUAAGCCGGCGCCCAGAGAGCAUUGCUCGAUCAGGGACCUUAACUCCGGCAAUCAACUGAACUCAGCCCAGAGAGCAAGCUCGAUCAGGGCAGACAAAUUCAUAAUAACCUUAUAUCCAUGAUCAUUACCGGUGCGCACGCGGUCCUGAUGUAAC